AAAGUCUUAGGUUAACUAAACUUUCAUCCUUCAAAGUUGAAGAUUAUAGACUUUA
rnacentral:tRNA from 1 species